rnacentral:tRNA from 1 species
AGGGUGCCGGGGCUUCGCCCGUUUUUUUGAGCGGGCGAAG